rnacentral:rRNA from 1 species
AACGUAGGGUGCGAGCGUUAAUCGGAAUUACUGGGCGUAAAGCGUGCGCAGGCGGUUCGUUGUGUCCGUCGUGAAAGCCCCGGGCUUAACCUGGGAACUGCGAUGGAAACUAGCGAGCUGGAGUGUGGCAGAGGGGGGUGGAAUUCCGCGUGUAGCAGUGAAAUGCGUAGAGAUGCGGAGGAACACCGAUGGCGAAGGCAGCCCCCUGGGCUAACACUGACGCUCAGGCACGAAAGCGUGGGGAGCAAACAGG